UAACAGGGCACCCUCGACCCCAGGUACGGUGGACCAAGACGGCAGGUAGCGCCUCGGACAAGUUCCAGGAGACAUCGGUGUUCAACGAGACGCUGCGCAUCGAGCGUAUUGCACGCACGCAGGGCGGCCGCUACUACUGCAAGGCUGAGAACGGCGUGGGGGUGCCGGCCAUCAAGUCCAUCCGCGUGGACGUGCAGUACCUGGAUGAGCCAAUGCUGACGGUGCACCAGACGGUGAGCGAUGUGCGAGGCAACUUCUACCAGGAGAAGACGGUGUUCCUGCGCUGUACUGUCAACUCCAACCCGCCUGCCCGCUUCAUCUGGAAGCGGGGUUCCGAUACCCUAUCCCACAGCCAGGACAAUGGGGUUGACAUCUAUGAGCCCCUCUACACUCAGGUCAGGAUGGGCAGCUGGCUCGCCCCAUACCACUUCUCCUGCAUCCAACAGGGGAGGGGGGCAUGGGGCUGAGUUUUUGGGACUGCCUUGACUUCAACAAUUCUAUUCUUACUUUGGAAACACACAUUCUGAUUGGAGUUCAGACAGCCUGGGGCAGAAAAAUCAGAUGGAAAGGCCAGGGAGCAGCAAUGAGGGCAGGAGUGUCCCCGAGGCAACAUGUCCUCCAGGAACAUUGCUAGUUAGGAAAAGGCACCCCUAGGGGCAGACAGGUCAUCCCAGUCUGCUGCUGGGUGGCAGAGUAUUGGAAACCUGUGGCCAGGCACAGCAGGAUCUGGGGGCGAGGAGAUGACUCCUCUUCCCAUGGGCCCUGAUAGUCCCAGGAGAUGGUGGUGAUGCCAUUCUGCCAAGGAGGGCUUUCAGCGGUGGCUGCAGGCCAGCCCCAUGUUUGUAUGGGUUGUACGAGUAAGUUCCCUUCUUACCCCUCCAUUUCCCAGACUGGAGAAACCAAGGCCUGGUACUUGCCAGUGUGCACAAGGGCAACCUCAGACCCAGAGAAUCCCAUGAUGAGGCACUGCCAAGGCUAUGGAGAGUGUAGCAUCCACCCCAGGCUCAGGACCCCUGGGGCUAAAUGGUGAGGGUGGGGUUGGGGAUGGGAAGAGGGGAAUUAGACAGGCAUUUGUGGUAGGCUCUGGUGCUGGGUGAAUGAGUAUGCGGGAUCCCUGGAGACUCAAGCAGGCACCUUACCCCAGUGGUCCACUGCUGCCCAGGGGGAGACCAAGGUCCUGAAGCUGAAGAACCUGCGGCCCCAGGACUAUGCCAGCUACACCUGCCAGGUGUCUGUGCGUAACGUGUGCGGCAUCCCAGACAAGGCCAUCACCUUCCGGCUCACCAACACCACGGCACCACCAGCCCUGAAGCUGUCUGUGAACGAAACUCUGGUGGUGAACCCUGGGGAGAAUGUGACGGUGCAGUGUCUGCUGACAGGCGGUGAUCCCCUCCCCCAGCUGCAGUGGUCCCAUGGGCCUGGCCCACUGCCCCUGGGUGCUCUGGCCCAGGGUGGCACCCUCAGCAUCCCUUCAGUGCAGGCCCGGGACUCUGGCUACUACAACUGCACAGCCACCAACAAUGUGGGCAACCCUGCCAAGAAGACUGUCAACCUGCUGGUGCGAUCCAUGAAGAACGCUACAUUCCAGAUCACUCCUGACGUGAUCAAAGAGAGUGAGAACAUCCAGCUGGGCCAGGACCUGAAGCUAUCGUGCCACGUGGAUGCAGUGCCCCAGGAGAAGGUGACCUACCAGUGGUUCAAGAAUGGCAAGCCGGCACGCAUGUCCAAGCGGCUGCUGGUGACCCGCAAUGAUCCUGAGCUGCCCGCAGUCACCAGCAGCCUAGAGCUCAUUGACCUGCACUUCAGUGACUAUGGCACCUACCUGUGCAUGGCUUCUUUCCCAGGGGCACCCGUGCCUGACCUCAGCGUCGAGGUCAACAUCUCCUCUGAGACAGUGCCGCCCACCAUCAGUGUGCCCAAGGGUAGGGCCGUGGUGACCGUGCGCGAGGGAUCGCCUGCCGAGCUGCAAUGCGAGGUGCGGGGCAAGCCGCGGCCGCCAGUGCUCUGGUCCCGCGUGGACAAGGAGGCUGCACUGCUGCCCUCGGGGCUGCCCCUGGAGGAGACUCCGGACGGGAAGCUGCGGCUGGAGCGAGUGAGCCGAGACAUGAGCGGGACCUACCGCUGCCAGACGGCCCGCUAUAAUGGCUUCAACGUGCGCCCCCGUGAGGCCCAGGUGCAGCUGAACGUGCAGUGUGAGUCCACCAUGCCACCCGGACUACCUUCCCAGCUUUCCUUCUGGCUCCCAGCCGGCCUGUCCCCUCUUCAUCCUCUCACCCACCCCAGUCCAACCAAACCCCACCAGCUACUCCUGAUACCCCUAAUGCUCCUUGACACCCCCAUGCUGUAGGACACGGAGGUCUGUGUUCUUUGCUCCAUUUCAUCAAGUAUCUCCCAUCUUCAUUUUCAGGGACCCGGUGAACAAAAAAAAAA
rnacentral:sRNA from 1 species